rnacentral:rRNA from 1 species
CCUACGGGAGGCAGCAGUGGGGAAUAUUGCACAAUGGGCGCAAGCCUGAUGCAGCGACGCCGCGUGAGGGAUGACGGCCUUCGGGUUGUAAACCUCUUUCAGUAGGGAAGAAGCGAAAGUGACGGUACCUGCAGAAGAAGCGCCGGCUAACUACGUGCCAGCAGCCGCGGUAAUACGUAGGGCGCAAGCGUUAUCCGGAAUUAUUGGGCGUAAAGAGCUCGUAGGCGGUUUGUCGCGUCUGCCGUGAAAGUCCGGGGCUCAACUCCGGAUCUGCGGUGGGUACGGGCAGACUAGAGUGAUGUAGGGGAGACUGGAAUUCCUGGUGUAGCGGUGAAAUGCGCAGAUAUCAGGAGGAACACCGAUGGCGAAGGCAGGUCUCUGGGCAUUAACUGACGCUGAGGAGCGAAAGCAUGGGGAGCGAACAGGAUUAGAUACCCUGGUAGUCCAUGCCGUAAACGUUGGGCACUAGGUGUGGGGGACAUUCCACGUUUUCCGCGCCGUAGCUAACGCAUUAAGUGCCCCGCUGGGGAGUACGGCCGCAAGGCAAACGUUAAAUGAAUUGACGG